rnacentral:rRNA from 1 species
UACGUAGGGUGCGAGCGUUAAUCGGAAUUACUGGGCGUAAAGCGUGCGCAGGCGGUCUGUUAAGACAGAUGUGAAAUCCCCGGGCUUAACCUGGGAACUGCAUUUGUGACUGGCAGGCUAGAGUAUGGCAGAGGGGGGUAGAAUUCCACGUGUAGCGGUGAAAUGCGUAGAGAUGUGGAGGAAUAACCGAUGGCGAAGGCAGCCCCCUGGGCCAAUACUGACGCU